GUCUUUCAGCAGGUUUACAGUCAUUGGAGAUCGCUCGGACGACCCAUAUCGAGAAUUAUGGACGGUCUGGAACUGCGGAGUUUUUAGGCCCGUUUCAUUCUUGCCUCAAAAAUGGGCUCGUAGUGGGCGGGUGACUGAGAAGGAGAAUGAAUGAAACGAAAGAGGCUCGGUCCAUUGAGAAGAGCACCUGACUCGCAAUCCUCCGGAGCAAUGCGUGCAUGCAUGUGUACAGAUUUAACGUAUUGACCGUUAGCACUCAGAAGGGCGCAGUUCACAUGGCCUGGCACGCAAUAUCAGACGGGAGAUGGCACUUUAUUUACCGAGUGUCAAGAUCUGUGGCUAUGCACGUCUAAGAAAUCUCCUACUCCCACCCAAAGAGGAAUGUGGCUUUACAGUCUAUAUUUAAUGUCCCGCAUUUGCGCAGAGCUACAUCGAGUUCACAAUGUCUGCAUUUUGGGUGCACCAGGAGCGAGAGGAGACAAUUUUUUCUCACGAAAGAGGUGGAGCUCUGUGUCGUUAGUAGGAAAGUACGAGUGAAAAAUCUUGGUUUUUUUCUGGUCGUGAGCUUUUGUGCUCCGAGUAUGACGAGUCGAUCGUUUACGGUACUGCAAUAAUAUAAUCAUUUUUCACU